UGUUUGUCCCUAGUUCCUGUGUUGCCUACCUUUUAAAAGGUACUUGUGUGGCUUGUCGGACUUUAUCCGUUCCAACCUCAUUUGUUGGGUUGCGAAGGGCUUUUGAGGUGAAAUACGUGGCUGCUCUUUUAGUCCCGACACUCUGUCGACUAUUUUGGUGCCCAUGUACUAAUCGUGUUCCUGGAUGCGGUGCAUGAGGUGAACGUGGGUUUUUUACCCACCGAGUCCCUUACCUUUGGUUGCCUUAUAAAUGAUGCUUGCCUUUAUGCCUGUUUUGCCACUCAUCACUGGGUCCAAAGCUUGCAUGAUGUGCAGA
rnacentral:misc_RNA from 1 species